ensembl:lncRNA
UAGAAAUAGAGAUGAGUCCCAACCCCUGGAGGGCCCAAGUUGCCCCAUGCCUGCUCUAAGUUGUUGUAUUAUUUUUUAUCAUUAGCCUCUUUGAGUCUCGUCUCUCUUUAGAGUGGGAUAAUGACUAAUAUCAAUCAUAACAGAGACCCAAAGCAGCUCACAAGUACUGUAAACAAUACAAUAGGUCCGGAUUUCCAUUAACUGUUGGGUCUGUUUCUGCUUCCUGCUGGAUUAAUUUUAGGGCUCUGAACCUUCUCCAUUGCCUUCACUGCGUUGUUUCCCUCCCUUCCUCCUAAUAAUCGAUGAGAUCUGAGCCUUUCCCUUGCCUGCGUGUCUUCGCUUUCGCCUCACGUCAUAUUUCGGAGGUUUUGGUGCUGAGGUCUUUCUCCCUCCUUCCCUCCCCUUUCCCACUUUCCCUCCCUCCUUGAGUUUUUCCUUUUGAUGUCAAACUCGGAGCUUUGGAGAGCCCGCGUGAGGCUGUCUUUUUUUAACCCCUCUCACGAGGGAGGGAGGGGGCGCGCGCGCCAAAAGCCCCGAGGGCCCGUCCUCCCACGCGCCGAAGCCUCGCACUCACUUCCUUGAUCUCGCCAGCUCUGACUUCAGCAGCUCCCAGUGGGCGGGGCCUCGGGCGCAGGAAGGAGGGGGCUUUCCUGCGCUGACGCAGAGGAAGAAGGCCAUAUAUGGUCAGUUUCUGCCCGGUGACGUUUCCGAGCCGGUCGGGCUCCAUUCCGGGAACCCCCGCCCACGUUGCCAGGCAGAGGCCCGGGACUGGGUCGGAUUUCCAGCCAAAGGGGGGAGGGAGGGAGGGAGUUGUGCGUGAGAGGGCCUUGGGCCGGGAAUGCCCCGUCUCCGCAGACCCACAGGCCCCGGUGGACCUAUUCGAACACGCCAACCCCCCUUCACACGUUCGCGCCGCAGCACUUCCUGACCUUCCUGGGUUGGCUUUCCCAUCACAAGCCCUCUCUGCCGUCAUGGAUGUUUUACUCAAAGUUGUCCGAAACUUCUUUCUUGCAAAACGACAAGCCAAAUGUGGAGGAUCCCCAUUGGUUUAGUUAAAGCAACAUACUGUUGAAACCUUGUUCUGUCCCAGAUGUAAAAAGGAAGAAGACAAUUUGCACUGCCCUGGUGUUAUCGACGGCCUGCUGCCCCCAGAAGUUCCUUGAGAAACUGCGGCAGAGAGGAAUGUGGCCGGAGGGUGUGUGUGCCACAGCUGAUGGCCUCUGAUGGGCACACAUGUUGUGAGAGAGACAGACAGCGCCCUGUCCUGGGCCUCAUGUCACCAUGCCUCUUGUUAAAAGGGGAAAUACAUGGGGGAGGGGAGGGAAAUGGGUUGGUUGUGGUUGUCUGUCCUCAUCUUCCUUCUGUCUAGUUUUUGGAACUGGAGGGUCAGAACUAGCACGAUAAAAGGAUCUGUUUACUACUCUGAUAUUACAACAAAGUUGGGAGGAAAGGAAAACAGGCUACUGUAAAGACAGGAAUAGAAGAAACACAGAGAGGGAUUAAAAGUCAGAAAGGCAAUGUCAUCCUGAAUAAUGGAUGUUAAAGGGAGGGUACUAGAAAAAUAUUAAUAUCCCCCCAAAUACACUGAAUUAUCUGUAAAGUAGAAGCUGAGAAAUGAUGCUUGUUUUGUGUUUGUGUGCAUUACAGGCAGAAUUGCUCAAUAUGUGUUUCUGCUUCAGACUGUACACAGGAGGAAAUUGAUGAGACAAUUACUGUUGUGAAAAACAAGGAUGAGGAAAGGCCAGGAAAUAGAGCAAUAGUUGAAAACAUUUGAGCAUGCUGAAAUAAUUCGUGGUGGUGGAACCCAGUGACAUUUCCCAAAGUAUUCAGUGGGAUAGUUCUCUGAACCAGUCAGUCGUCCUCCACCUCAAUGCGUGGAAACUAGGUGUGGGCUUUCAGAGCUUUUUUGGGACCAUUUAUUCAAUCCCUUGCCAUGGGUUCAGUAUAGCUAUUAACAAUGAAAAACAAGAGGAAAGAGAAGAUACUCAGCUAGAAAUUAUGUGUGUGGUAGAAUUUAGUGUGUGGUUGUUGAAUGCCAGCUUAGGUAAAACAGGAAAGUUUUAUCCACUGCUUAACAAGAAAAUUGGGCAAUCAAGGUGUCUGGGACACAAGCGAUUGAAUUAUCUAAUAAAAUACAGUACUAAUUGAUCAGAUAAUUCAAUAGGCAGAACUCAGCUGGUACAAGGUUGGCUUCUCGGCCCUACUUCUCUGUAUGACACCCUUGAAAGAAAAUGUGAGAAAUUAUCACUACAAAAGAAAAAAUGCAUUUUGAACCCAUAAGUUAACAUAUUAUAAUGUGACAACAGUGACCAGUAAACAUAUAGAUGCUAAAAUAAUUUGAUGGGGAAACAUGUAAUUCCGAGGACAGGAUAAACAUUAAAACCUCAUUACACCCCUUUAUUUUAUUUAUACCUGCCUUUCUUCUGGCACAGUAAGCCAAGGCAGCUUACAAGAAGUUAAAACAAAUACAACCAAUAGAAAAAUAUCCAAACAAAACACUCUUAGAGCAAUUGGCAGAGAAUAAAAAAUCAUGAGAGACAUAUCUAAAAUGUUAUAUCUGUCUGAGCAAACAGUGAUUCACUCCAUGGUUGGAUUAAACAAGGCAAUACAUGGAUUAAACAAGAUAUGGGUUUAAACUACAGGGGAGUAGGUGCAAAUUAAAUCAUAACAGGAAAAAAAAGUAAAAGAGCAGUUUAGUUUUGGAUCGGGUUACUUAGAAAUGUUGUAGAAUUUCUUCCUCUGAGACCUUUCCAGAAAGGUUUAGAUCAAAGAUAGUAAGUAUGUAACCCCCUAAAUGUUGUUGGGUUACAAUUUCCAUUGGUCCAACCAACAUUUUUGAUGGUUGGAGUUUCUGCACUCAAUAAUACCUUGCCUAAUUUUUAUAAUGCCUGAAGUCAAAUUGAUAGCCUUGAUAGACUAUCUCUUUAAAAAUGCCAUUCAGUCUAAACGGAUAAGGUCUGCUCUAUCCAAAAAUGGCCAAAUUUUCCUGCCUUUGUGCCUAUACAUUCUUGGAGCACUACACUUGAAACAUAAAGCCACAAUGUCAUCUCACAGCCCUUUCCGGACAUCUUCAAAUUCCUUUCCUCUCAGUUUAAUUUGCAGAUGCAAUACCUUCAUUAUUAGAUCAGUUUUGUAACAUUUUACUUGAUAUCUGAAGAUAUCUGAAGAUUUUUAAUGCUUGCUUCUAUUUUGUGUCCUUUUGCUACUUAUCUUAUAUGCAGUUUUAAUUUACUAUGGAAAGCAGUGAGUCUACUACUGUAGUUUCAGUAUCAGCCAUAGCCUCCCAUUUGGGCUCCAUUUAUCUUUGGCUAGUUUUCAGCAACACCCUGAGAGAAUCUAAUCUGUGCCAAGACAGGGAUCAAGACUGUCUGAGACGGUGAAACUGUGCAAAGGUGGAACUGUUAACCCUUUCCGUGUGCCACAGCAAGUAUUCAUUCUCUGUUAAAUAUGAAGACUGAAUAUUGUCUCAGCUCCAGAGCAACCAAAUGAUGCUCUCUACUGGCACAAUCAUUGGCUGACACAUUGGCUUUCAAAGUACAGCAGCAUCCCAUACCUGCUGAUCCCCAUGCCAGAUAUUCAGAAGCAAAUGCCAUUUGUUCAAAGAGAAUAAGAAGAACAGACAACAGGCCCGUGAGUAGAAAAAUGUACAAAGGACAGCAGGAAUAGAUUUUUAGUUGUCACCAUCAACGUCAUCCGUUAGUCAAAUGUUUCAGAAGCUGUAGCUGAAUGAAACAGCAUAGGCUUUGUGUACAAGAGGAUUCAGGCUCAAUUGUUGGCACCACCAGGUACCUCUCUGAGAAACAAAAGAACCACUUGACUAUAGACCAACUACAGGUAAACGAGUGUCCUUCAGAUGUUUUAGACUAUGACUCCUAUAAAAUUCAGCAGGUGCCAUACCAGCUGGAGGAUAUAGGGAUUGACAUCCAAAACAGGAAAAGACAGUUGGUUACCUUCUUCUGUUGUAGGCAGUGCUGAACUGGAUGGACUAGGAAUCUAACUACAUAACCUGCUUUCUUGUGUUCUGAGCACCUUGAGAUGUUUCUAUGGUCUUUUGGGGCUGAUGGCAUGGGUUGUAGCCCAGAUGAGUCAGU